rnacentral:rRNA from 1 species
GACGAACGCUGGCGGCGUGCUUAACACAUGCAAGUCGAACGGUGACGGGGAGCUUGCUCCCCUGAUCAGUGGCGAACGGGUGAGUAACACGUGGGCAAUCUGCCCUGACUUCGGGAUAACGCUUCGAAAGAGGUGCUAAUACCGGAUAUGAACCUCGCAGGCAUCUGCGAGGUUGGAAAGUUUCUCGGUCAGGGAUGAGCCCGCGGCCUAUCAGCUAGUUGGUGAGGUAAUGGCUCACCAAGGCGACGACGGGUAGCCGGCCUGAGAGGGCGACCGGCCACACUGGGACUGAGACACGGCCCAGACUCCUACGGGAGGCAGCAGUGGGAAUAUUGCGCAAGUGGGCGAAAGCCUGACGCAGCAACGCCGCGUGAGGGAUGACGG